GACGUAGGGGCCAGCGUUGUUCGGAAUUACUGGGUGUAAAGGGUUCGUAGGCGGUGUGGCAAGUCGGGAGUGAAAUCUCUGGGCUCAACUCAGAGACUGCUUCCGAAACUGCUGUGCUGGAGUGUGGGAGAGGCGCGUGGAAUUGCAGGUGUAGCGGUGAAUGCGUAGAUAUCUGCAGGAACACCCGUGGCGAAAGCGGCGCGCUGGACCACUACUGACGCUGAGGAACGAAGCUAGGGAGCAACAG
rnacentral:rRNA from 1 species